rnacentral:rRNA from 1 species
ACUCCUACGGGAGGCAGCAGUGAGGAAUAUUGGACAAUGGGUGGAAGCCUGAUCCAGCCAUCCCGCGUGCAGGAAGACGGCCCUAUGGGUUGUAAACUGCUUUUAUCUGGGGAUAAACCUACUUACGUGUAAGUAGCUGAAGGUACCAGAAGAAUAAGCACCGGCUAACUCCGUGCCAGCAGCCGCGGUAAUACGGAGGGUGCAAGCGUUAUCCGGAUUUAUUGGGUUUAAAGGGUCCGUAGGCGGACUGAUAAGUCAGUGGUGAAAUCCGACAGCUUAACUGUCGAACUGCCAUUGAUACUGUUAGUCUUGAGUAAGGUUGAAGUGGCUGGAAUAAGUAGUGUAGCGGUGAAAUGCAUAGAUAUUACUUAGAACACCAAUUGCGAAGGCAGGUCACUAAGUCUUAACUGACGCUGAUGGACGAAAGCGUGGGGAGCGAACAGGAUUAGAAACCCUAGUAGUCCCAUGA